rnacentral:rRNA from 1 species
GAUGAACGCUGGCGGCGUGCUUAACACAUGCAAGUCGAACGGAACUACUCCAAUGAGAGUCUUCGGAAAGGAUUUGGUUUAGUUUAGUGGCGGACGGGUGAGUAACGCGUGGGUAACCUGCCCUAAAAAGGGGGAUAAAAGUGGGAAACGACGGUUAAUACGCCAUAAGCGCAAAGGAGCGCAUGCUCGGGGGGGAAAAACCCCGGUGGUAUAGGAUGGACCCGCGUCUGAUUAGCUGGUUGGCGGGGUAACGGCCCACAAAGGCGACGAUCAGUAGCCGGACUGAGAGGGUGAACGGCCACAUUGGGACUGAGACACGGCCCAAACUCCUACGGGAGGCAGCAGUGGGGAAUAUUGCACAAUGGGGGAAACCCUGAUGCAGCGACGCCGCGUGAGCGAAGAAGUAUCUCGGUAUGUAAAGCUCUAUCAGCAGGGAAGAAAAUGACGGUACCUGACUAAGAAGCCCCGGCUAACUACGU